rnacentral:misc_RNA from 1 species
GAAAUGCGAUAAGUAAUGUGAAUUGCAGAAUUCAGUGAAUCAUCGAAUCUUUGAACGCACAUUGCGCCCCCUGGUAUUCCGGGGGGCAUGCCUGUUCGAGCGCCAUUUCACCACUCAAGCCUCGCUUGGUAUUGGGCGACGCGGUCCGCCGCGCGCCUCAAAUCGACCGGCUGGGUCUUUCGUCCCCUCAGCGUUGUGGAAACUAUUCGCUAAAGGGUGCCGCGGGAGGCCACGCCGUAAAACAACCCCAUUUCUAAGGUUGACCUCGGAUCAGGUAGGGAUACCCGCUGAACUUAAGC